UAUUAAACUAUAAUAAUAAACAAUUUCUUAAUGUAUUUUUUUAAUUGAAUGUAAAUAUUGAAUCAUAAAAUAUUAAACUUUAAUAUACAAUUUAAUACCUAAAUAUCUUAAUCUAAAUAUUAAAUGUAGUUAUUAAAUUGAUAAUAGAUAUUACAAUUGAUUUGAUAUCUAAAUAUCUUCAAACGUAAACAUUCUAUUUUAUUAUUUCUGUACAUUAUUAGACGGCUCUAGAUGCUUAUCUGUCACAGUGUUGUUGUUGUGUGUUCAGGAGGUGUUGGAGUCGUGGCCUCUGAGCAGUGUUCUGGAUCUGAAGGCUGUUCUAGACGAGAGAGUUUACGACUCUCUGCUGACCGUCAGCAUUCAGGAGCGCGGCAGUCGCGCAGUCAGCGUCUUCCUCUUCCAGAGCGAGUCUCUCAGGGCCGAUUAUCUGAAGAAAGACCUGGAGCGGCUCCUGCAGAACAAGAGAGACGAUCACAGGCUGACUAAUGGCAGUAAAGCCGCUGUUGGAAACGUCACACAGAGAAACUCGCGACGAGCAUCUCCUCCACCUCAGCUGAUCCUUCAGAAACCACCUGAACCCUGGGCUGCUUCGGAUUACGAUGAGAGUCCGGUCCCGACUCCUCCCGCCUCCAGAAAUAACUCCACCUACAUAAAGGUAGUGGCUCCACCCCCUCACACAGAAGAACCGCCCAUUAAACCAUACCCACCCCCUCCGCAGCUGUACACAGAGAGGGAGAGGAACGUGGUGAGUGUUGAUUAGGGGUGUGUGAUAUAUAUCAUCUGCGAUAAUAUCAUAAUUGUUGCUUUUGAUGUGCAAUUUGACAUUCUGCAAAAACCAUUCAAAACACACUUACAGAGUGCACGCAUACAUUACGUGAAGUCUGGACUAGUGCACAUUUCUUUCACUGCAUAAUUCAGUCUAUUAAAAUACAUUUAGAAUGAUCACAAAUUCAAGACAUGGGGGCAGAAGAUAUAUAUUUAUAGCACUUCAUAAACUUAAUCAUAAUCACACGAAGAGUGACUUUUUUUUUCCAUAAAUUACCAUGAUUACAAAUGUGAUAUUGAUUUUUUAACAACAGGUCAAUAAACUAGAAGUUAAUUAAGAUACUUAAAUUUUAGACACCACAUUGUCUGUUUUUGCUCUAUUUCGACGACAAAAAUAAUUCCAAACUAAGCCACAGCUGUUUUGCGUCUCUGAGCAACUUGACGGUGUUUCGUUCCUGAAUGAAUCAAUGGUUUAAAUGAUUCGGUUCAAUCGCAGUGACUCACUUAUUAACAGUAACUUGCUGCCACCUACUGGCGGUUUUAAUUGCACAAUUUAAGUAUUUUUUAUUAUUUAAAUAAUUUCAGAUAUCAGUAUUCAAGUUUAAUGUUUAAUAAAUUAUUUUUGCAUGUGU
rnacentral:lncRNA from 12 species